UACGAAGGGGGCUAGCGUUGCUCGGAAUCACUGGGCGUAAAGCGCACGUAGGCGGAUUUCUAAGUCGGGGGUGAAAUCCUGGAGCUCAACUCCAGAACUGCCUUCGAUACUGGAGAGCUUGAGUCCGGGAGAGGUGAGUGGAACUGCGAGUGUAGAGGUGAAAUUCGUAGAUAUUCGCAAGAACACCAGUGGCGAAGGCGGCUCACUGGCCCGGUACUGACGCUGAGGUGCGAAAGCGUGGGGAGCAAACAGG
rnacentral:rRNA from 1 species